AUCGACUCGGGGUCCCGCGCUUACAGGUGACGAAUCGACACUUGACGAAUCGACACAAGCCAACGGACAAAACCCGGAAGGGUUGUUUAUAAACGGGGCUCAAUCAUGGACAUAAAAAGAAGGCUCAAUCCGUUUUGGUUUUGAUGUCAUUGAACGCAGCCCGUUCUUUCGCACAAACAAAGCCAUUGGAAACACGUCUAAAAGCAAUGAUGAAUGCAUAUGUAACCCAGUUCCUGUUAGGGACUCUUAUUCUGAAGGAGGAGAACGGAAGUGUGCGUUUGGGUCGCUGUUUUGACUCUGUUGGGAGCGCUGGAAAUAAAGUGGAUCGCCCUGUUCAGUGAAUGGAGUUAACCGAUUCUUCUUUUAUAUGCAACCCAAGUAAAGGACCCCGAGUCGAUCUGGCAGCCGAGUCAAUCCGACACCCACAACGGCACUCUGCAAUGGAAGGGAUAAAGACCCUAGAUAUGUCUUCUCUCGUGUCCAGUAUCCUUGAAUGCACGAGAAUAAGACAACAGAAAAUAUUGUACUAUGGAUAGUAGAUGCGUCAAGAGCCUUCGACCGCAUUAAUCAUGGCAAACGGUUUACCAAACUGCAAGAGCGAGGGGUGCCUCCAUAUUUAAUAAGAAUUUUGCACGAUUAGUACUUGCACCAAACCAUGGGAGAUCGAUGGGGUAAAACAAUAUCAACCCCAUUCCCUGUAACUAAUGGGGUCAGGAAAGGUGGAAUAUUGUCACCUAUCCUUUUUAACUUGUAUAUGGAUGGUCUGCCUAGAACUAGAGGAAUGUAAGACUGUAUGUAUGGUGGGGAAUCGGCUCAUUUAUCAUUUGAUGUAUAUGACUAAAUCAUUAUGUCACCUUAUAGUGCUGGUUUAUAACAACUGCUCAGAGUUUGCACAAAGUAUGGUAUGCAGAAUGACAUCAACUUUAAUCCCAAAAAGAGCGUCAUCAUGAUGGAAAGAACUAAGGAGGACCAGAAGCUAAAGUUUCCCUCCUUUUACCUGUCUGACAAAGUACUAGAUACUGUAACUAAAGUAAAAUACGAAUGGCAUAUUAUCAGGAAUGACUGAUAAGUUGUAUGCCCAGGCAAAUAUGUUUGCACGUAAAUUUCAUAUGUGCACUGAUGAUGUCGAAACAGCUCUUUUUCAAGCUUAAGUGCGCUCCACUUUACACAGCACAUCUAGGGUGUAGCCAGAGUAAAGGACAGAUGAACAAGAUAAAGGUGGCAUAUAAUGACACUCUUAGAAUCCUGUUAAAGUACCAAAGGUGGGAAAGUGCGAGCAAGAUGCUUAGGAAUUCUAUGUUUACAUUUAUGUGCAGGCCUACUGAGUCUAGGAAUGGCAUUCUAAGGUAUUUGACGGACCCCAACCUAAGUGAGACAAGAUAUUCAUCCAGCCUUUGGAAAUAUUGGAACCAACAUCUGUAUCUAUUUUAACAGUUGAGCACACAUGUGUGCUAUGUGUAAUUUAUUUUUUGUUUGUAUAAUGUGUUUUAUAUUUGGACUUCGAGUCUGUCAAUAAAGAUAAUAAUAAUGUUUCAUAUCAUUAUAAUUGGUCUCUCUACUGGAUAAAUAUUUUCACGUUUCCCCAAAAGUUAGGAUUAGGGUUCUGACAUGCAUGUAAGUAUUUAGUCAAAUCUUUCACUUCCUGAAUUUUGGACAGUUUCAAUCUGUGUAAUCCAUCACAGGGAGUCUACUUUCAACCCACUUGCUGAAGUUCAGUGCCAUACAAAGUGUGUCAAUGAUGACUAAAUGUUACUCAUGUUCAUGUUUGGUCAUGAAAUGUUUUGUUCCCCUUCUGAAGAGUCAAGAUGAAACUUGUACCGAACAAAUAGGAGUUGCAGUGCUUGCAGG
ensembl:lncRNA